GACGAACGCUGGCGGCGUGCUUAACACAUGCAAGUCGAACGGAAAGGCCGUAUUGGGGUUCCUCGAGUGGCGGACGGGUGCGUAAGACGUGAGUAACCAGCCCUAGACUUCGGGUUAACUGCAGGAAAGUGGGGCUACUAACGCAUAGAAAUCAUUGGAGCUUGGGGGGGGUUGGAAAGAUCCGGGGGUUUUGGGCGAGUUGGCGGGUUAUUGGCGUGUUGGUGGGGUAGUGGGUUACAAAGGCGCUGAGGGGUAGCCGGCCAGAGGGGGCGACCGGCGACACUGAGACCGAGGGACGGCCCAGACGCCUACGGGUGGCAGCAGUGGGGAAUAUUGCACCAUGGGCGGCAGCCGGAUGCAGAAGCGCCGCGGGCGGGAUGACGGCUUUCGUGUGGUAAACCGCUUUCAGCAGGGGCGAAGCUUGUGGUGACGGUACCUGAAGAAGAAGCACCGGCUAACUACGUG
rnacentral:rRNA from 1 species